CCUACGGGGGGCUGCAGUGGGGAAUUUUGGACAAUGGGGGCAACCCUGAUCCAGCCAUUCCGCGUGAGUGAAGAAGGCCUUCGGGUUGUAAAGCUCUUUCGCAAGGGAAGAAAACUUACUCAAUAACACUGGGUGAGGCUGACGGUACCUUGAUAAGAAGCACCGGCUAACUACGUGCCAGCAGCCGCGGUAAUACGUAGGGUGCGAGCGUGAAUCGGAGUUACUGGACGUGAAGCUGGCGGUCACGGGUGAAAUCCCCGGGCUGAACGUGGGAACUGCGUUUGAAACUACAAGGCUAGAGCAUGGCAGAGGGGGGUAGAAUUCCACGUGUAGCAGUGAAAUGCGUAGAGAUGUGGAGGAAUACCAAUGGCGAAGGCAGCCCCCUGGGUCAAUACUGACGCUCAUGCACGAAAGCGUGGGGAGCAAACAGGAUUAGAUACCCGAGUAGUC
rnacentral:rRNA from 1 species